AUGAAAACCCUGAAACCCUAAUCUCCUAAACCCUCCCUAUAAAACUAUAUCAUUCUCCGCAUACUUCCGCCAUUCACUCUCGCACGUUAUCUUUCCAUUCUUCUACUUCAUCAUCUGAUGCUUUAUGCGUAGAUCGGUACUGUUUUCAUCACCCCUAAUUCUAAUUUUUCUGUUAUUUCAUUGCUUUUGAAAUAAAAAAUGAUAAGAUCUAGUGACUCAUCGUGACAUAAACUAAAUCUAGGGCUGUACCAGAGGGUGCAGUGGUGUUUCGUUGCAUUUUCUGUGUAUAAUUUGUGUUCCUAUUAUUUAGUUUGUAAAUUUGCUUUUUGUUAGGGAUUAAACAUCUCUUCUUUGGCUUGAUUUUGUGCCUAAGGAAUGAAUGGGUCCCUAAAAUUCAAAUUCAUCCAUCUGUUCACUUUGUCAGCUGUGUAUUUUCUUGUUACUUGUUGAUCAUUAAAUGAUGGAAAACUUUGUAAGACUACACAUUGACAACAUAUCAGAUCUCUAAGUAUUGUGUCUUUCUAUUGUUUUCCUGAAACAUUUUAUUUUUAAUUUGUAAGAGGUCUCUUCCAAAAACCUACCUUGUCCAUAGUAUCAUUUUAUUGUUGUAGUCAUAGAAUGAUGAACAUCUGUAUUUGUGCAAAAGCAGCAUCUUUCGAGGUGCGAUGAGCUGCGCUUUCCACACGAGAUUUCUGACUAAUUACAACAAUUAAACUUCUUUUCAGUUUUUUGCUAAUUGUAUUAUUGCUAAUUUCUAAGGUAAUGCCCAAAUUGAGAAAGAUGUGUCAAGGUUUAGGCAUUGAUAUUGCUUUAUAAACUUAUAUAGUCCAUGAUGAUAAUCCAAAGGCUUGUUUCUCAAGAACAUUCGCAGUUGCCGCCUAAGAGCUUUCGCCUUUCGCCGGGCUUGAGAGCUGAUGCUGCUUUAUUCCUUCCUUGGAUGUCUGAGACUCCAGUUUUAUACAAAUGUCAUAGCAGGAUUACAAACCUUGCAUAUUACUGGGUUCCUCUCUGUAGAACACUUUGGAGUUGGACACUGUUGAUCCCUUACUAAUACUGGAUUGUCAUAGAACAACAGAAGCUAAAAUGAAAAAUAUUAGUGAUACUAUGUGAAUAUAAUUAGAAUUGUACCUGAAAUAUUUGAUCACUUCAAAUUGAACUGCAGUAUUGUUGCUGGACAUCUGUAAUUGCUCCAUCCUGCCUUUGUAACCACCCGACAAACAUGCUGGUGUUGUAUUUUUACUUGCAAUCUAACAUUGAAUGGUACUUUGGGUAUUGAUUAAGUGAUAUAUCUCUUUUCUCCCAGUACAUUGUCCAGUAGUCCGAGAUGGCGAAUUGAUUCAAAGGCAAAUGUGCUUGGGGGAUACUUUUUUCUUUUAUGUGGCUCCAUUUCCUUUUUGUUGUUUUUCUUUUCAGCAGUAUUAUCCAAGCUUCUUCCACCAUCUGGCAAUCGAAUCGUAUCAGCUGUCCAGAAUGACAGGUGACCUUUUAUUAUUCUAUAGUGAUUUUGUAGUUCCAUUGCUGAAGUGCAUCUAAUGGAAGGUAAUAUAUGAGUUUCCGGCUAGGCAUUUGAUGAAUGGUGGCAUGAUUUUUCCAAAAAGGUUCUUCUUUUACUGUAAUCUUGAGCAAGUGGGAUGUGUUAUUAAUGUGAGAUAUGUCCAGGUAAAUCUGGUACAGUCUCAGUACCAAAACAAAACCCAGUGGGCAUGCUAUUCCUGAGUAUGUGAUAGCACACAUAUUGCUCCUUAUGAGGUGCUACUGUUUCUUGGUGCCGUUGACUCUUCCUGUUCUGGUGGUGGCACUAUAUUUUCAUUGGCUCAGCAUGAAACUCUUCAAACAUGCAUGAAUCUAUCUAUUGAAUGUUACAACACAUGGAAACCCUGAAGAUGCUUUAAUUAACCUUUGAAGUUGUGAAUGCACAACUUUUUAGAGAGCAGCAGAAGUAAUGGUUUUGCGGAGUGUCAUCUUCACUAAACAAGUUGGUGUUGAUGCUCGUCACCAUAUGCUUGAAAGAUUAUCUUCCAUUAUUGCAAAAGAACUUCUUAAUGGGAAGAAAGUUAUAAUUUAAAACAGAUCCUCUAGUGAUGAAUUAAGGAAAACAAGUUGAGUUCAGUGUCCCUCUAAAGUCUAAAUGAUAGAUAUCUCUCAUUUAGACUGUACAUUUCCAAGGCCAGCCUGUUGUUGCGAUAUUGGUGACCCGCGUAAUGCACCAUUGUGGCGCUACUUUACUCUAGGCUAGCCACCCAACUGGCCCGAAGCACGAUUGGCUCUUGGCCAAUAUAACUUACAACUUGUAUCCUUUUGGUGCGAUUGGCCAAUGUGCCUUACUUGGCGCCAUAUUGGCUCUAGGUCAAUGUAUCUUUGAUGUAAUAUGAUUGAAUGUUUGUUUACUUGAGUCUAGAAUUGUCUAGAAUUGAUUGAACUCACAUCUGUAUCUAUAACUAAUUUAGGGUUUAUCAUCGAGCGAUAAACUUGAUCACAAGUAGCAUGAUAUGAUUACAGAUUGAAGUGAUACUUAUUCAAUGUAAUGACAAAAAACCCUAUUACAGAUUGUA